ACUCAACGAUCAAACUCUGAAAAUUAAUAAAACAUUUUUUGUUUCACAACGCGAAAAAUGGCGGAGGAGUGGAACGCGAAACUUCAUUGUUGUGCUGACUUUUUCUUUCAAACAGAUCCUUUUAAGAUUGGUGCAGAAAAAAUGUGAUACCGAAACACAUCACCGUUGUGGUUUCUAUACGAGAAUGCGAAUUAUACACGCUAGAAGUUUCGUUACUUUCGAGAACAAGUCUUUCGGAAAGAGACGAGAUCAAUGACACAGAUUUUUCUGGCAGGAAAAUCCCAAAAU